rnacentral:lncRNA from 1 species
UAAAGAAAGAUCUGAAUGAGCAUAGACGUCUGAACUCCAGACUAGGACUUUGUGGGUCCAAUAGCACAUACCGAAGCUGCUCCAUCCAGAUGCCUGAACAGCCCACACUAUGUCUGUGAUAAAAGAUUAGUGACCCUUUGCCUGAAACAGUUCUGCUGAAAGAGAUCCCACCACUUCUUGGAACACAGUCCAUUCUAUUUUGGAGUUUCUUUGGAAUCUU